rnacentral:rRNA from 1 species
CGAAAGCCUGACGGAGCAAUGCCGCGUGCAGGAUGAAGCGGUUUCGCCGUGUAAACUGCUGUCAGGGGACAGAAACACUGAUCGUCCCCAAAGGAAGGGCCGGCUAAUCCUGUGCCAGCAGCCGCGGUAAUACAGGAGGCCCGAGCGUUAGUCGGAAUCACUGGGCUUAAAGGGUGCGUAGGCUGACCGGUAAGUAUCCCGUGAAAUACCUCGGCUCAACCGAGGAAUGGCGGGGUAAACUGCCGGUCUUGAGGGAGGUAGGGGUUGCUGGAACGCUCGGUGGAGCGGUGAAAUGCGUAGAGAUCGAGCGGAACGCCGAAGGUGAAGACAAGCAACUGAGCCUCUCCUGACGCUGAGGCACGAAAGCGUGGGGAGCAAACAGGAUUAGAUACCCUGGUAGUCCACGCCGUAAACGAUGCGCACUAGACCGAUGCAGGUCUGACCCUGUGUUGGUCGGAGAGAAAUUGUUAAGUGCGCCGCCUGGGAAGUACGGUCGCAAGGCUA